CAGAAGAAGAAGAAAGAAAACAGAUAAAGAAGAAGAAGAAAGUUGAAGAGAACAAAGCAUAACUCUUUUUUGCUUCUCUUCUUCCUUGCAACAUCUUUGUCCGAAUCAAAACUUGUUUUUCUUGAGAGUAUUAAUCUCUAAGGUGCAGAGUUUGAGGUUUAUUUCUUUUGUAUAAGAAAUAUUCUUUUUUUCGAUUCUUUGUUUGGAGGUUUUUAAGAAAAAGAUGGAACAGAGGAUUUUGAUUUGGAAGUAUUUGUGAG